GACGAACUGUCCUAACGUUGUUCGGAAUCACUGGGCUUAAAGGGCGCGUAGGCGGUCCAACAAGUCAGGGGUGAAAUCCUGCAGCUCAACUGCAGAAGUGCCUUUGAUACUGUUGGUCUUGAGGGAGAUAGGGGUGUGCGGAACUCACAGUGGAGCGGUGAAAUGCGUUGAUAUUGUGAGGAACGCCGGAGGCGAAAGCGGCGCACUGGAUCUCUUCUGACGCUGAGGAGCGAAAGCGUGGGGAGCGAACAGG
rnacentral:rRNA from 1 species